ACUCUUCAACCCACCAGUUUCUUGUUAGACUGUGUGGUGUUUGGAUUCUGAGUGUUGCUGGUCUUCGGACGAAGCUCAUUCGUAAUACAUUAGCAUCUCAAUUUCGAUAUUCGGAUUGACUCAGCGUGAUAGACUAUUCGCUGAGGACACUUUCUAAGUGGCCGAAUUUGAAGUAGAAGCUCAUAGCUAGAUCUUAGUCACUUUUGA
rnacentral:misc_RNA from 1 species